ACCCAGACCUACUGAAUUGGAAGUGCUGAGGAUGGGGUCCAGCAAUCUGUGGUUGAACAAGCUCUGCAGGCAUCCAGGAGCAGAGCUGUGGGGCAGCAGAAUCUGUGAUGACAGAGAAUGAUGAUGUAUUUUUGCCAGCAGAUGCUUUUGCUCCUGUUUUGAUACCCCAAUAUUCGGAUGCAGAAAAGGACUCUGAGCAUUGCUGACGGGUGUGCUCUGCACACCUAUCUCUUCAGGAUCUGAAUAAUUUGGUGGAAAGACAAUGCCUUUUCUGGAAAAGGGUGUCAGGAAAGGUCCAAGGCUCAAGGAAAAUGGACAUCAUGUGCACAACCUCCUAACUCAGAGGACAAGCAAGUGACCGGAAGGCCAAGGAUGCUGUCUGACCACAGACAUUGCAAUGCAGACACAUAAGAUUAGAAGCAAAACGCAGGAGGCUGGAGUUACCUUUCAUGGAAGGGUAAGCAGGAAGCAACUACAAGAUCAUCAUUUCAAAACAAUAUGAAAGCAGAAUGGGAAAUGCCAUGGCAUGCUCCCUCUUUUCAGGCAAUAUGGACACUUUGGGGAAGUUAUGAAGCGUCUCCCAUUCCCGCUUGAGGUACUCAAUAGAGCCCACAAACACAAUGUGCUUGAGCUCAUGGUAAUGAAAGUUGCUGGCACGGAGCGGCAUCACCAGGUUCCGGAGGCCGAUCAGGGCUGAGCUGACGUCGCCAAAGAUGCAGACCACGACAUGGCCACUCAGGACGGUCAUGGCAGCUUCACUUCGAGUCUACAACAGGGAGAAGUGGGUAAGAGUCAGAGAGAAGACUGCAUAGGGCUGUUGUAAGGAGUGAAAUAAAUCAUUUGUGCAAAGAAUCAAGCAAAUA
ensembl:lncRNA KCNMA1-AS1 KCNMA1 antisense RNA 1